UGGCUUUGUUGACAUAACUGAAUAUGUAUACAAUUACUUGAACAUUUUCAUUAAUCAAAACUCGUUGACAAACGGUGCAAAAAAUAGGUACGCGCUGCUUACACCCGUAAAAAUCUCACAGCUUGUCAACGAGAUGUGUUCGCACUGCUUGUUCCCAGUUGUUGACAAGUCUGGAACAAGUUGUUAUCAUCUUGUAACAAGGUUGAUGAGGCCGAAAGACUCGCAACAAGUUGUUCCAACAAAUCUGAUAUCGUCUGCUCGUAACACGUUGAUGACAACAAGCUCGUAGCAACUUGUUAAGAACAGUGUGUAUUAGUCUUGUUGGAACAACUUGUAUAGCAAGUCUGUUAUCGUCAUCAACCUUGUAACAAGGCUGGAACCAAUAACUAUAUAAAUAAACAUCUGGGGCAAGUCAAAGAAUGUUUUAAACGGUUUUAUUAAACAAACUGACAGACAAAAUGACAUUAGGAAUAUGUUUAGGUAUUAUGUACAAUUCUGUAGUUUAUAUUAAUAGUUCUGGGACUUGAUCUUCAACCAUGUACGUCGUAUUCUUUGUCUUCUCACACCAUUCUGAUAAACGAUCUUUCAUACUGGAAAUCUAAAUAAUGACUAUUUGUAUUGAAUAUCACACCAUACCACAACAUACUAUAUCAUACCACGCUAAACUACACCAUACCUUACCAUACCAUACCAUACCAUACCAUAUCGUACCAUACCAUACCAUACCAUAUCGUACCAUACCAUACCAUACCAUAUCGUACCAUACCAACCAUACCAUAUCACACCAUACCAUAUCACACCAUACCAUAUCAUACCAUACCAUACCAUAUCACACCAUACCAUACCAUAUCACACCAUACCAUACCAUACCAUACCAUAUCACACCAUACCAUACCAUAUCACACCAUACCAUACCAUACCAUACCAUAUCACACCAUACCAUACCAUA